CCUGAUUGAGUUUGGUAUGAUUCCUGAAUUUGUGGGACGCUUGCCAGUUGUUGUUCCUUUGCACAGCCUGGAUGAGGAGACACUGGUUAGAAUUCUAACUGAACCCCGGAAUGCUAUAAUUCCGCAAUAUCAAGCAUUGUUCAGCAUGGAUAAGUGUGAACUCUCUGUAACUGAAGAUGCCUUAAGAGCCAUAGCCAGACUGGCAUUAGAAA